rnacentral:rRNA from 1 species
AUGAAAUUUUCUUCUAAAAUUCUGCAACACCCAAAUGUCCCCUGGACCCAGUGGUUCAACCAACAGCACCCUCUUGGCAUAGCUGCAAAAACUACACGACCUUCCUUUCUAUGGAAGGUUAUCAACAACAACUUGCCACUGCUAAUUGAGCACUCCUUUGUCAUCACAUACAAUGGCCUCUCCACCUUCUUCUGGCUAGAUAAAUGGCUUCUGCAAUCACCACUACAAAAAGUGUUCCCCAAUCUCUACUCACACUCCAUUGAUGACAAGGUUUUAGUGGCUACUGUCUGGCAAACCAGCUUAUUGGCGAACCUGCGGAACCGUCUAUCUAAUGAUGCUGCUCGCGAGCUGGAUAGCGUGCUGUUGUUGUUGCAGGACUUCCAACAGGUGGACCAACCGAACGAACGGUCUCUUACCCAUGGCCUGCCGUUCUCAGCCAAGAAUGCCUACUCCUCUAUUGUUGCUGAAGACUACAUCGACCCACACCACGAUCUUGUUUGGGCCUCAAAAGUCCCGAUCAAGGUCAAGAUCUUUGCCUGGCUACUCCUCCGCGAUCGGCUCAACACGAAGGCCAAC